CUAUCAAGUGUCAAUGAAUGGGACGAAGAGAGCCCUACUACUACUACACGUUUCGAUCACUCCCCAAGGGCCACCAGCAUUUGCUUCCGGAUGGUCUACAGCACUUGGAGAGUUGGAAUUUAUCCAUCCCUCCCGAUUUGUUUGAAAUCAGCCUUCUGGAAAUCUGCAUUUGGAAGAAGGUGGUUCGCCGUACAAAACUUGUCCUUUCGGGAAUAGGUUGUCCUCACUUUUCCGUGUGUUCUCCCCUUUUUCUUUUUCCUCUUCUCUCUCCUAGGAAGCAUUGAGUUUACUUAGGAAAAGUUAACAGUUCCUGUGACUUAACUGCACUUAAACCAAAAGAAAAGCAAAUGUGUGUUCGAAAAUUACACAAAUAAAAUAAGUUUUCUAAAA
rnacentral:sRNA from 1 species